rnacentral:rRNA from 1 species
CUAAGGCGAGGCCGACAGGCGUAGUCGAUGGACAACCAGUUGAUAUUCUGGUACCAGGUUGUGACCGCCCAUGCUGAGGUCAUUGUGCUAACCAAUCUGCCCGCACCUCUUCGUGGCUUUCGGGCCGCGAGCGUGUGUGUGGGUCUUGGGGUCCCGGUGAUGGUAGGCAAGCGUGUUAACAGGGGUGACGCAGACAGGUAACUGCAGUGCGCCGAUGGUUGUGCGUAUUUAAGGUUGUGGCCCGCCCUUUAGGUAAAUCCGGGGGGCACUAGGGUGAGGACUGAUGAGGGACACACGUGUGUGUGGACUUGUGGUGAUCCUAUGCUGCCGAGAAAAGCCUCGACGUGAGGGCAUGACCUGCCCGUACCCUAAACCGACUCAGGUGGUCAGGUAGAGUAUACCGAGGCGUUCGAGUGAAUCGUGGUUAAGGAACUCGGCAAAAUUCCUCCGUAACUUCGGGAUAAGGAGGACCCCGUGACUUGCUCCCACCAUGCGUGGGUGUUGGGUUGUGGGGUCGCAGAGAAUAGGGAGAAGCGACUGUUUAUCAAAAACACAGGUGCGUGCGAAGCCGUAAGGCGAUGUAUACGCACUGACGCCUGCCCGGUGCUGGAAGGUUAAGAGGAACCGUUAACAUUCUUUGUGGGUGUGAAGCGGUGAAUUUAAGCCCCAGUAAACGGCGGUGGUAACUAUAACCAUCCUAAGGUAGCGAAAUUCCUUGUCGGGUAAGUUCCGACCUGCACGAAUGGCGUAACGACUUCUCCGCUGUCUCAACCGCGAACUCGGUGAAAUUGCAGUACGAGUAAAGAUGCUCGUUUCGCGCAGAAGGACGGAAAGACCCCGGGACCUUUACUAUAGCUUGGUAUUGGUGUUCGCUUGGACUUGUGUAGGAUAGGUGGGAGACUGUGAAGCUGCCGCGCCAGCGGUGGUGGAGUCGUCGUUGAAAUACCAUUCUGGUUUAAGCGGUCACCUUAACCUUGGCCCGUGAUCCGGGUUGGGGACAGUGCCUGGUGGGUAGUUUAACUGGGGCGGUUGCCUCCUAAAAUGUAACGGAGGCGCUCAAAGGUUCCCUCAGCCUGGUUGGUAAUCAGGUGGCGAGUGCAAGUGUACAAGGGAGCUUGACUGUGAGACCGACGGGUCGAGCAGGUGCGAAAGCAGGAACUAGUGAUCCGGCCAUGGCACGUGGGUGCGUGGUCGCUCAACGGAUAAAAGGUACCCCGGGGAUAACAGGCUGAUCUUGCCCAAGAGUCCAUAUCGACGGCAUGGUUUGGCACCUCGAUGUCGGCUCGUCGCAUCCUGGGGCUGGAGUCGGUCCCAAGGGUUGGGCUGUUCGCCCAUUAAAGCGGUACGCGAGCUGGGUUCAGAACGUCGUGAGACAGUUCGGUCCCUAUCCUCUGUGCGCGCAGGAAAUUUGAGGAGGGCCGUCCCUAGUACGAGAGGACCGGGAUGGACGAACCUCUGGUGUGCCAGUUGUACCGCCAGGUGCAUGGCUGGUUAGCUACGUUCGGAAGGGAUAACCGCUGAAAGCAUCUAAGCGGGAAGCCUGCUCCAAGAUGAGGUUUCCACGCCCCACUUGUGGGGUGAGAGGCCCCCGCCAGACGAGCGGGUUGAUAGGCCAGAGGUGGAAGCACCGCGAGGUGCUCGUGAGCCGACUGGUACUAAUGGGCCAACGCUAAACAA